UUUCCUAGCUCGAGUUAGCUAGUCUGUUAAGACAGCUCACAAACAUUUUAAUCUAUAUAAAAAACGAAUAAUGUGAGCAGAAACAUUAAAUAACCAUAUGCAUAAAAGUUAUAAACAUGUUUUGAAAACAAACAUUCCUUCUUGCAAAAUAUAAGGAAAACUUUUCCAUAUUGACAUGACGUGGGAUGAAACUGGUUCCCACAUAGUAUAAGAUCCAAUGACAUCUAUAAAUAUUAAUUAUCUAUACGAGGUUAUCACUUAUCACAUAAAUGUUUUAACUAAUAUACAAACAAGAUAAAUAACCACAAUUUAACUUUAAAUCUAACCGAUAUGAAUAUGUUUAGAUAGAAAAAUGUACUGAGCCGUGUGAUAAACGUGAUAUAAUAUUAAAAAGAAGCGGGUAGCAGUAGUAUUAGUUGGAUUGCAAUAAAAAUCACCUAUGUUAUUUUAAUAUUCAUAUCAAAAUGAAAGAUCUUAUGUAGGGGUUUAUUCCUAAACAAGCUCUUAGACAAAGCAACAUACUUAAUACAUCGCUAAUAUAUACAUCCCACGCAGCUACGGCGAGCACUUCGCAGUCAGACUUAGCCAUGAAGGUCACAUUGUUUUACCUCAUAAUAUUAAUUCUUGCUAUGAGCGUCUCUGCUAAUUAUUAUACCACUGCCCGCAGUGGCUUCGGAGUAAGCUGCCAGCAAGCCUGCGAAGCAGAAGCACGAGGGCCAGAUCGGUGUAGUUCCACGGGUUCUGGUUGGUUCACAUGUGAUUGUUACUGUGAGAGUAAUGGUUUAGAUUAGUGAAGUGAUUUGUGAGCAAAUAAAUAUGUAAUUCAUU